CACUUUGAUGCCGGCGUGGUAAUUCACAGUGAGACGCGUCACUCAUGUAUCCUCGGGCGCCGAGAUCAGCGUAUGCUCUGUGUCAAGCUACUUUGGAAUGUAAAUCACAAGUGGAAGCUAUUCUGUUGAUUCACUUUGAGAAGUUGCUUGCUUUCUCGAUUCAGGUAGCAGUAAGGGUUACAGCACUUUCGUCUCCUUAAGAAAUGUUUCAUAGGGAGUUAGGUAAUUGCUUGGUGAGCCUGGAAUCAGAACAGGGAAGAGCUGUUGCUCUCUUCGUCUCAGGAGAAGGACGUUUUUCUAGUGGGACCCACAGUCAUCUCACCAGGGUCGUCUAGAUAGUGAAGCCACUUUCUUCUCCACAACAGACUUGGCACUGCUCACGUUUGCUUUAGUGACUAUACUCAUCCCUGGAUGAGCCACCUUUGGAAGACAAUCUUUUCUUAAAUUUAUGAAUGUAAUUCACAGGUAGGGCAGAGGGUCUGUGGUGAAGAGGGGACAAAAAAACACAGUUGGAAAUGUAGAUUGGGCCUAAACAGUGGCGUUCAUGGUAUUUCAUGAUAAAGACUUUACUUUCUGGGGGUCUCUAACCUGUAGAUUUUAGGACAUGGGAGACCACAGUUUUUAUGAAGGAGGACCUACCCAUCCAUAUGGGCUCCCCAAGUGGCGCUAGCAGGUAAAGACCCUGCCUGCCAGUGCAGGAGACGUAAGAGAUGUGGGUUCGAUUCCUGAAUGGGGAAGAUCCCCUGGAGAAGGGCGUGGCAACCCACUCCAGUAUUCUUGCCUGGAGAAUCUCAUGAACAGAGAAGUCUGGUGGGCUACAGUCCAUAGGAUCACACAGAGUGGGACACGGCUGAAGUGACUUAGCAUGCGCACACAAAUCCAUAUGCAGUGAAAGCCUCAUGUGUGGGUUUAAUAAUUAAUAUCACUAACAGAAAUCAGUGCUUUCUCCCAAAUAUACGUAGCUGGUUGAUAUGAUAAUUCAUCAACCCCAAAUUCAUUUAAAGUGUUACUAAAUUAAUCGUGUCUUUUUGGUCACUGUGUAUUUUUUUGAUUAACAGAUAUUUAGAGCAAAGUAUCUAUUGCUCACAGUUGGCAAAAUUUUGGAUUAAAAAAUAAUAUUGGAAACCACUGCUGUUGAUGACAGAUAGGCAUGCAGUUUUUUGAGUUAACAAAUGGGAUUGGUUCUGGGGUCAUGCUGCUCCAAAUCUAUUUAGCUGUGUGACUUGGACCAAGUUAUUUAACCUCUACAAACCUUAGAGUCCUUAUCUCUAAUAGUAACAUGAUAACAUUUGCCUCUUUGUCAUAAAGAUGUAUGAAAAGCAUUAGCACAGUGCCAGUUUCAUGAGAUGUGCCCAGUAAUGUCAGCUGUUUUCAUUAUUUCUGGUAGUCUGUGCAAAUGUGUAUGAGAUCUGACCCAGGGUGGAGGACGAAUUCCAAGCAGAGCGUUGUAAGACCUUUUGUUACUCAAGUGAGUAACAAUGGGGCUGGCAUGGGCAGAGGGCAGCGGUAUAGAGAGUAUGGGAGAGUAAACGUCCACCUCAGGUGAUGACGUGGAAAAUGAAAGAACCCAGCUUCCGUUCAUGCCCAGAGCAAUGGACGAGGUAGAGAUUAGACUUCAGUGAACCUUGUUCCUGUGAUUUCCUGGCAGUAUAUAGUGUGAAUUAUCUGGCAGGUUCCGUAGCUCUUAGUUCCUAGAAUUGAUCUAGGUAAGAAUUCACCUAGAGUAAAUUUUAUUUAUUAGUUUAAUGAAUUAAUAAGCCCUUUUUGGAACAUGUUAGAAUUAGAAUAUAAGUAUCUUGCUUCAUGAUGAUGUAGUAUAACUCUGCAGUUCAGCCUAUCCCUAUCAUAAAGCUUUCAAAGAAAUGUAUAUAGGACAAUAAGUGGCAUAGUCCAAAUUUUAAAAAAUUGUUCUAUUUGCAUAUUAUUAAUUAUUGAUGUCUGUACUUAGAAAAAAAUCAAACAGGAUAAAUGUUAAGUGUUGUCUAGGAGAUUUGUAUUUUCUAAAGUGAAAAUAUGCGUUUUGGAAAAAUAUUUUUAUUUUAUAUUUGAGAAUAGUUGAUGAACAAUGUUGCAUUAGCUUCAGCUGUACCGCAAAGUGAUUCAGUUAUAUUAAUGCAUAUACAUCUUUCUAUUCUUUUUAAAAUUCUUUUCCCUGUUUAGGUUAUUGCAGAAUAUUAAACAGACUUCUCUGUGCCAUAUAGUAGGUCCUUGUUGGUUUCUCGUUUAUGUGUAGCAGUGUGUACGUGUCAAUGUGUAUUUUUAAAGUGCUAAAAAGGGAAACUUUAAACAGGACUGGAUUGGAAAGGCUGAAGGGAAUUUGCCUUCCCCAUCUUUUUGAGAAGCUGUUUACAAAUCCUAGUGGUAGUGGGUGCUCUCCCAAGUGUUUCAUUUCAGUCAGAUGGUGUUCUUCUAAAUCUGGGGAAAUGGGGACCAGCUCAUAAAGGUGGGUGGAAGUGAGAAAUGAGAGUAGCGGUAGUACAUGCUAAUGGGGCCAGUCAGAAUUUGACUAUUACAUUUUAUUGAAUUAUUUUUCAUGUUAGAAUCCAGGCUAAGACAAAUGAUUCCUGUUACUUUACCAUCCGUUCUCAAUGUGCAAAUUCUCACACUUGGGUGUUGGCACACAUGUGUGGGUACACAGUGAAGGGGUGCUGGGCGGUUGCCAGGAGCAGCGACAACUCCAGUCCAGGAAUCAGGAAACGGGGGGUGGUGAUCUUGUCUCAACCCUGUUACUUAGUUUUGUAAUAGACUUAAAUCAUUAACCUCCCUGAGCCCAGCCUUUUCACCUGGGAAUGAAGGAUAUCCAUAACAGUUCUGACCACCUCACAGGCUUAUUUUGGAAAUCCAUUUUGAACAGAUUAUAAAGCUCCAUACACAUGAGAGUUGUUUUCAGUGCUGGCUUGGCCCGUCUUCAGCACUGCAGUCGCGGGCAAGUGGCUCAGGCUCUGUAGACCUGGCCCCGAAAAACUACCAAGUCUACCGAGUCCUCAUUUUUGUCUUGAGACAGUGGAGACGAAGGUUCAGAAACAGUGGGUCAGAGGAGCGUCACCUAGGGCAGUAGGUCUCAAACUGAGACAGCAUCAAAAUUAACUGGAAAGGCGUGUGAAACUGCAGAAUCCUGGGCCCUGGGAUUUCUGAUUUCCUCCGUUGGGACCUGAGAAUAUGCAUUUGUAACAAAAUUCCCUCAUGAUGUCGAUGCUGGGGUUUUAGGGACCAUACUCUAG
ensembl:lncRNA